rnacentral:rRNA from 1 species
GAUGAACGCUGGCGGCGUGCCUAAUACAUGCAAGUCGAGCGAAUGGAUUAAGAGCUUGCUCUUAUGAAGUUAGCGGCGGACGGGUGAGUAACACGUGGGUAACCUGCCCAUAAGACUGGGAUAACUCCGGGAAACCGGGGCUAAUACCGGAUAACAUUUUGAACCGCAGGGUUCGAAAUUGAAAGGCGGCUUCGGCUGUCACUGAUGGAUGGACCGGAGUCGCAUUAGCUAGUUGGUGAGGUAACGGCUCACCAAGGCAACGAUGCGUAGCCGACCUGAGAGGGUGAUCGGCCACACUGGGACUGAGACACGGCCCAGACUCCUACGGGAGGCAGCAGUAGGGAAUCUUCCGCAAUGGACGAAAGUCUGACGGAGCAACGCCGCGUGAGUGAUGAAGGCUUUCGGGUCGUAAAACUCUGUUGUUAGGGAAGAACAAGUGCUAGUUGAAUAAGCUGGCACCUUGACGGUACCUAACCAGAAAGCCACGACUAACUACGUGCCAGCCGCCGCUGUAA